rnacentral:rRNA from 1 species
CCUACGGGGGGCAGCAGUGGGGGAUAUUGCACAAUGGGGGAAACCCUGAUGCAGCGACGCCGCGUGAGUGAAGAAGUAUUUCGGUAUGUAAAGCUCUAUCAGCAGGGAAGAAAAUGACAGUACCUGACCAAGAAGCCCCGGCUAACUACGUGCCAGCAGCCGCGGGAAUACGUAGGGGGCAAGCGUUAUCCGGAUUUACUGGGUGUAAAGGGAGCGUAGACGGUUAUGUAAGUCUGGAGUGAAAGCCCGGGGGCCCACCCCGGGAGUGCUUUUGAAACUGUGUAACUGGAGUACAGGAGGGGCAGGCGGAAUUCGUGGUGUAGCGGUGAAAUGCGUAGAUAUCAGGAAGAACACCGGCGGCGAAGGCAGCCUGCUGGACUGAAACUGACGUUGAGGCUCGAAAGCGUGGGGAGCAAACAGGAUUAGAUACCCUAGUAGUC